rnacentral:tRNA from 1 species
UGGACUCAUCGUCUAAAGGAUUAAGACAGAGACCUUCUAAGUCUCUAAUGUAGGUUCAAUUCCUACUGAGUCUAU